GACGAACGCUGGCGGUGUGCUUAACACAUGCAAGUGGUGCGACGAACCAGAGCUUGCUCUGGGGCAAAGCCGCGAACGGGUGAGUAACACGUGGGUAAUCUACCCCGAUGACCGGGACAACCCGAGGAAACUCGGGCUAAUACCGGAUGUGGUGCGGAGACAUAAGUCUCUUCACUAAAGGUAGCUUCGGCUUCCGCAUUGGGAGGGGCCCGCGGCCCAUUAGCUUGUUGGUGGGGUCAAGGCCUACCAAGGCAACGAUGGGUAGCUGGUCUGAGAGGACGAUCAGCCACACUGGGACUGAGACACGGCCCAGACUCCUACGGGAGGCAGCAGUGGGGAAUCUUGCGCAAUGCGCGAAAGCGUGGCGCAGCAACACCGCGUGAGGGAAGAAGGCCUUAGGGUUGUAAACCUCUUUCAGAUGGGACGAAGGUUCUCCGGUGAAUAGCCGAGAGGAUUGACGGUACCGUCAGAAGAAGCUCCGGCUAACUACGUG
rnacentral:rRNA from 1 species